rnacentral:lncRNA from 1 species
UGACCCCUGACUGUAACCAAGUGUCCUUCUCUCUGAGACGUUCCCUCGGAGCUUGUUCUCACAGCCCUCACCUCCAGUGACCUCCACGAACUUUUCCACACGAGGGGUUCUCUGCUUCCCUCCAUCUGAGCUGCGCAAUUCCACCAGGCCUUUUGCUCCUCUUCAGUCAGGUGCUUUGGAGGUUGCGUACUCCAGAGGUCAGAACCAAGAAGAAGCCACCUAGCCUCAGAGGCUCAGAGGACAUGAAAAGACUGAGAUCCAGAGGGAAAUGGGAGAGAGGCUGUUUUUCUUAAGAACGAGAUUUGACAAAAAGGUAGGAGGAAGAGGCAUGGAGAUGAGAAAGGAGCGAGCUCCGUAUCCAGGGAGAAGCGUGGGAGUUAAUGUUACGCUUAGAGGGUGGUAGUUAGCAGGGUUAUGCUUUGAAAAAAAAGAGAGAGAAAUAAAGAGCAGGGAUCUGGGGAGGCAGCUGGGGCUCAGCAAAGUGCUCACAAGCCGG